rnacentral:misc_RNA from 1 species
GAUGGAGAUUACUAAAGUAUACCCCCUCGAUGCUGUUUUUGAUAGUCUUGAGGAUGUACCUGAAGAUAUAAAAACAAAUAAGCGUUAUGCUGGUUCUUCUAAGUGGACAGUUUCGGAAGUUGCAGAAUCCGUGAAGGAGGAUUUUGGAAGCAUCGACAUUCUUGUCCAUUCACUUGCAAAUGGGCCAGAGGUGACUAAACCUCUUUUGGAGACAUCAAG